UACAGAGGUCCCAAGCGUUGUUCGGAUUCAUUGGGCGUAAAGGGUGCGUAGGCGGCGCGGUAAGUCGGGUGUGAAAUCUCGGAGCUUAACUCCGAAACUGCAUUCGAUACUGCCGUGCUUGAGGACUGGAGAGGAGAGUGGAAUUCAUGGUGUAGCAGUGAAAUGCGUAGAGAUCAUGAGGAAGACCAGUGGCGAAGGCGGGUCUCUGGACAGUUCCUGACACUGAGGCACGAAGGCCAGGGGAGCAAACGGG
rnacentral:rRNA from 1 species